rnacentral:rRNA from 1 species
AAUUCAUUUUCUCACACUGUGCACACUACUGCCUUUUUUACACCCAUCUUUAACACUUAAAGUAUAAGAAUGUAAACAGUCUCUUAAUUGAGCAUAAAAUUAAAACAAAACUUUCAGCAACGGAUCUCUUGGCUCUCCCAUCGAUGAAGAACGCAGCGAAAUGCGAUACGUAAUGUGAAUUGCAGAAUUCAGUGAAUCAUCGAAUCUUUGAACGCACCUUGCACUCUUUGGUAUUCCGAAGAGUAUGUCUGUUUGAGUGUCAUGAAACUCUCAACCCCCUUGUUUUGUAAUGAGACGAGUGUGGGCUUGGAUUAUGGCUGUUGCCGGCGUAACUGUCGACUCGGCUGAAAUAUACGAGCUACCCAUUUCUAAGAAAUAGACGGUUUGACUCGGCGUAAUAACAUAUUUCGCUGAGGACGUCACAUUCUUAAUCAUCAGUGGUGCUUCUAAUGCGACAUCUAAAUUUAAGCUUUAGACCUCAAAUCAGUCAGGACUACCCGCUGAACUUAAGCAUAUCAAUAAGCGGAGGAAAAGAAACUAACAAGGAUUCCCCUAGUAACGGCGAGUGAAGUGGGAAAAGCUCAACUUUGAAAUCUGGCAGCUUCGCUGUCCGAGUUGUAGUCUCGAGAAGUGUUUUCCGCGCUGGACCAUGUAUGAGUCUGUUGGA